rnacentral:lncRNA from 1 species
GGGGUAUUGAUACAAGAUAACUCAUGUAUUAUUCCCUCCUUCUGGAAAAAAUGUGAUAGAACUUGAUUGAAGGAAUCUUUAGCAUUGUCUGAUCUGAAUUUUUUUAUCUUGACCCCAAAUUGAAUUUUUACCAUACUAUGAAAUGUGGAAAAUACUGAACUUACAUCAGACUUAUUCUUUAGGAGAAAAAUCCAUGACACACGAGUACAAUCAUCAAUAAAUGAAACAAACCAACGAGCUCCAGAUAUAGUAGGAACAUUAGAAGGCCCCCAGAUAUCACUAUGGAUGAGUGAAAAAGGAACUGAUGUUAUUUUAUUGCUUACAGGAAAGGAAGCACGUUUGUGCUUUGCAAUUUCACAAAUAUUACAAUGAAGACGUUUCUCAUCAAUUCCUUUAAAUAACAAUGGGAACAUAACUUUAAGGAUGCUAAAUGAGGGAUGUCCUAGACGAAGAUGAUAAAGCCAAAUUUUGUCUUCAUUUGAAGUUAAAAAUUCAGAAAACAGUGAUAAAGAUAAGCUAUUCUUAGUUUCAUUUUGCCUGCUUGAUUCUUCAAGAUAAUAAAGUCCAUCUUUCUCCCUAGCAAGUCCAAUCAUCUUCCCCGUUACCUGGUCCUGAAAAACACAAUUUGAGGGAAAGAAAGUUACAGUACAAUUUAAAUCUUUUGUGAGCCUUUGUAUGGACAAGAGAUCAGUGGAUAAUUUUGGAACAUGAAGAACAUUAACAAGUUUCAAAUUUUGGUUUAUUAAAAUACUUUCUUGGCCCGUAACUGCGAUUAAUAUGCCAUCUGCUGUGGCUAUUUUCUUAUUGCUAGGACAUGGAUUAUAAGAGGUAAAUUUGUGUGAUGAAUGGGUCAUAUGAUCUGUAGCCCCUGAAUCAAUGACCUAGGAAUCUGGAAAAGAGGUUAUGCUUGAGACACUAAGGACACGGGGGAGAGGAUGCUUACCUGAGAGUGCUAAAGAACAAGCACCUGAAGUAGCAGACUUUCCCAAGGACCCCAACAAAUUCCUCAGUUUUUGUAUCUCACUUUGACUGAAGUCACUUUGCUCUUGUGGCAUGUCCUCCUCCCCAGGUUGUGAGUAAGUCAUAUGAGCCUGCCCUCUUUGUUGUCCAUCCUUCAUGGUCCAAUUUUUGUUUGACAAUUUCGGCUUUCCAUGAAGCUUCCAACAUCGUUCUAUCCUGUGCCGAGGCCUUCUACAGUAUGUACACCUUAAUUCAUCUUUGUUUGUUGCUUAAGACAUGUUCAAUUCCUCAUUCAUGCUCACGGUUGGUUGGUUUGGACUGGGUUUUUUAAAACCAGUCAUUUUUGAGACCAUAGCUGACACUUCGACGGCCUGUGGUUCCACCAUUACUCCCCUCCGUCCUUCUUCUGCUCUGAUUACCGCAAUAGUCUCAUUUAAUGAGGGCAAAUCAUCCUUUCCAAGAAUUUGGACUCUGACUGGAUCAAACACCAUAUUUAGUCCUGCAAGGAAAUCAUAAAUCCUGUCAUUUUCUUCCAGUCUUUUCACCAUGGCUGCAUCAUCACUGCAUUUCAGUUUAAUACAUUGAUAAUGGUCCAUUUCUUGACACAGAUUUUUCAUGAGAUUGGCAUAUUCUGUGAUAGUACGUUCUCCUUGCUUGGUGGCUGAAAUUUUAAUCUUGAUUUCAUAUAUCUGAGCAGCAUCAUGAACCUUGGAAUAGGUUUGUCCAACGGCAUCCCAAAUCUCCUUUGCAGUGGUUAGGAACAUACAUGAAUUGCUGAUCUCCGGUAGCAUUGGGUUCCAUAGCCAUGUCAUCACCAUAGAGUCCGCCUCAUCCCAAGCAUCAAAUCCAGGAUUUCCUGCUAUAGGCCCUGCACCAAGCGACUCAACAUGCCUUUCCUUUUCAAGAACGUUCUAACCAGCUGUGACCAUUUUAGGUAAUUCUUUCCAUUCAAUUUAUAUGCUGCUUGCAGAUUCUGUAACUCUCCUAAAGAUGAAGCAGGUUUUGUUUCCACAGUCUGCGUCUCAGAGGAGUUAGUGCUGUCAAUGAUUUCUGCCAUGGCCAUUGUGAAGAUCAAGAAAGAGCUGUGGUUAAAUCAAGAACGAGAGUGGCCAAAGGAAGAACAAAGAACUUAAGAUUUUCAAAAUGAUUUAGAGAGAACGAAAAAAAAUCAGCAAUAAAGGCUGAACAAAAUACUGGGCAAUGAAGGCCAACAAGUGAAAAAACAGAGGGUAAUUCCCAGAAGCUUAAAGCUCUGAUACCAUGUGAAGAAUUGAAGUAUUAUUCUUCUUCGUAAUCAUAAUAAUAAUGCUAUACAAUCAUUGAAUUUAUAUACUUACAGAGAACAAAUAAAAUAGAAAACUAUCCUAACAUAAAUCCCCUUAAUUAAGGGAUUGUGAUAUUCCUUUAAUUAAGGGAUUGUGAUAUCUCCUAAAUUACGGGAUUGUAUACCAUUAAUACAAUAAUUCCCUGAUUUCCUUAUUGGGCAGAUUUUCCCACUUGCAUAAGAAAAGUUAUUUAUUUUGACAGUGAAGGGUCACUUUCAAAUAAAGUUAUUCAUUUUUAGCUUUGACGUACAACUUAUUUUUUACUAGUAAACUUACUCCUAAGUAAUAAUUUAGCUUAGCCGAAUAUGACCUAAUAGAUUUUACUUAUACACCUUAUAUUGAUUGGAUCAACUGGCUUCUUUUGCUCAUAAUUGUCUUCCUUGAUGAGAAAGUAAUCAUCUGCCACUUUCCCCUUGACUAUUGCUUAUAAUCUCUUCGUUGAUGCCCAUUGUCAUUACCUUAUAUUUAUGAUGGAUAAACUGAAUAUUGCCAAUGCAUGAUUUUGUUGUCUAAUAGAUUACUAUGAGAAAAUAUGACUAUCCAUUUAGUCAAGAAUACGUAUAUCUUGAUUUUGUUCGUUCAUUAGUAUAUUGAAGAUGAAAAAUGAGUUGGUGAAAUUCUUGUGUUCUUUAACCUGUAUUGAUAAUUUGUAAAUGACCUCUUUUUAACUGAAUAGUCUUGCGCAAUUCAUUACUUCUUUUGAUUUAGUGUCAAUUUCUCUUCUUGCAGUGGGUUAAGAAUCCUGUGAUGGCUCAGGAGGUGAUUAAGACUGUUGAUGACAUGUUUGUUUGGAAGUUUUCAGCAUGAUUCUUUUCGUGUAUUCGUUCGAUGAGAAAUGCGAGUCCAAUUUGUCCACUUGCUCCACCCCACCAUCAGAAUGAUGAAGGAUUUUUUCUUCUUCUCGUUGUGUUUGAUCUCUUCAAUAUUUGCCUCACUCGUUGUCACCUAUGUUGAAGAAAGGUUUGGCAUUAGAUGAGGAAGAAUAAUUAGCUAAUAUGUUGAUUAUUAACUCUUUGGUCAUAUUUGGUACUAUGUAUCAAUAUGCAUUCGAAGUCUUCAAAUUUUGCAUGGCCUAAACACACAUAUGAUGACAUGUUUGGUGUGCAAAAUUAGAUUAUGGGCUUGUUUGGACCCGAUUUUUUCCUCCAAAAAAUUGAUUUUUUGAUCGUUAUUUCACUAUUCUAGCCAUCAUAUUUGACUUCUUCUCUCACGGGUGGACCCCACUUUUCUUCUAACGGUCAAAAAAUCAAUUCUCAAAAUCACUCCCAAACAGCCUCUAUAUUGGACAGUAUUGGAUAGUCAUUUUUUUUUUUUGAAGUGUCAAAUAGUGUUCAAUUUGUGUCAGGAACAUGUCAUAAGUGGUUUGGUUAGGCGCGACAUUGUAACUAAACUAUUAAAUAUCUUUGACAAGCCUAUUGAAGUGGUUACUUC